rnacentral:rRNA from 1 species
UCGAACGGAGUUAUUAUUCAGAAGUUCUUCGGAAUGGAAGGAUAAGAACUUAUUGGCGGACGGGUGAGUAACGCGUGGGUAACCUGCCCUUUUGUGGGGAACAACUUCGAGAAAUCGGAGCUAAUACCGCAUAAUAAUAGAGGAUCGCAUGAUUCUUUAAGGAAAGAUGGCCUCUGAAGAUGCUAUCGCAAAAGGAUGGACCCGCGUCUGAUUAGCUAGUUGGAAGGGUAACGGCCUACCAAGGCAACGAUCAGUAGCCGGCCUGAGAGGGUGAACGGCCACAUUGGGACUGAGACACGGCCCAAACUCCUACGGGAGGCAGCAGUGGGGAAUCUUCCGCAAUGGGCGAAAGCCUGACGGAGCAAUGCCGCGUGAGUGAAGAAGGCCUUCGGGUUGUAAAACUCUGUCCUUAUCGAAGAGAGGUAGGUAUGUGAAUAAUGUACCUAUAGGACGGUAGAUAAGGAGGAAGCCCCGGCUAACUACGUGCCAGCAGCCGCGGUAAUACGUAGGGGGCGAGCGUUGUCCGGAAUCACUGGGCGUAAAGGGCGCGUAGGCGGUUUAAUAAGUCAGUGGUGAAAACUGAGGGCUCAACCCUCAGCCUGCCACUGAUACUGUUAGACUUGAGUAUGGAAGAGGAGAAUGGAAUUCCUAGUGUAGCGGUGAAAUGCGUAGAUAUUAGGAGGAACACCAGUGGCGAAGGCGAUUCUCUGGGCCAAGACUGACGCUGAGGCGCGAAAGCGUGGGGAGCAAACAGGAUUAGAUACCCUGGUAGUCCAC